GGGGCUGAACGGUUUCGACUUCGCGCAUCGAAUCAAGGGAAGCGUGCCGGUGCAGGCAAGAGACCACCGUAAGCGUCGUUGCGACCAAAUAAGCGCCGAUUCACAUCAGCGCGACUACGCUCUCGCUGCCUAAGCGACGGCUAGUCUGUCAGACCGGGAACGCCCUCGGCCCGGACCCUGGCAUCAGCUAGAGGGAUCCACCGAUGAGUCCGGUCGCGGGACUCCUUGGGACAACCACAGCGACUGGGAUCGUCAUCUCGGCUAGUUCGCGUGACCGGGAGAUCCGAGCAGAGGCAUAGCGAACUGCGCACGGAGAAGCCUUGAGGGAAUGCCGUAGGACCCGGGUUCGAUUCCCGGCAGCUCCACCG
rnacentral:tmRNA from 1 species